CUUCCGGAAUCCCAUAGUGGAGGAACUAAGAUGGCGUAGUUGGAGGAGAGUGAGGAGAAGACGGAGGAUUCGUCUCCUCUUCUCCCCUCAGAAGGGGGACGUGGGCCUCAAAACAGAGUUAAACGUACCAGCGUUGAGGAAUUCCUCCGGCUUUUGUUUACCAUCGUCCCUGCAUCACUUCGGACCAGCGUCCUCCAAGUUCAGUGACAUGGAGGAUUGGGGACAGUUGGCAGAUGUGUUUUUUGUCUGUGCACCGGUGAAACAUCAGUGUGACAAGCAGACCUGUUCAGGAUGACCUGCAAGGACCACGGCGCCCUCCUCCCUGCUGUUGUCCCACAUUCUUCAUUUCUUCAGCGCCGUUUUUUUUCUGAAAUCUAAGCAUGGUAUUGGCAGCAUGCUAUAUUUUUUUCAUUAUUCGAUGUAGCCAAGCAUUGACUAUGUUUGACUGAAAAUGUCCAGCCUGGACGUUUUCAAGCAAAUAUUUUAGAGGGCAAGUAAAUGAAACAUUUUCUAAAUCACUUAAGACACAGAACACUGUAGCAACAACCACAACGCCUGUGAUCAGUUCACUUGGAUUUAGUUUUUUAUGCUACCUCAUUGCCAUUAACAAUAAUGACUAGGAUAAGCAGCCUAGUCUUGGUGAAGCACCACAGAGUGUUCCAUUUAAAUCGAACCAAACUAAUCCAUCUGCACCUAUUAUUCACCUUUAGGUCAUGAUGGAAAGAAGUAGCUCUAACACCAAACAACAAAAUUUAUUGGACAGCGUCAGCUCCUUUGUUUGCAAACAGCUUAACUUCCAUAUCUUCAUGUAUUAACCUCAUUUUUUAAAAAUAAUUAUUAUCAUGACUUCAAUUCUUGGAAAGUUUUUUUUGUAUUUUCAAAGCAUCUUUAUGUUCAACACUGAAAUUGCGUCCAAGCCUUAACGGAAAAAAAAACAAAAAUCAUCCUGUCACGUUUUUGUUUGAUACUUUUGCUCUGAUUUUAAUUUUAGAAAUCAUAAAAGGGGAUAUGUGCAAUAUUUUGAUCCUAACUGUCAUGUUGUUAACCAAACUGUAUAUUGUAUAAACAAGUGACAAGUUGUUUGAAAGCAACAAAAUCACCAAUGUCUUCCAUUAAGAUAUGUAUAGAUUCAUUUGCUUACUUAGGGGGGCAACAUUAUAGUUGUCAUGCAUGCGUAGUUGUGAUGCUUGCUUCAUGAGUUAUGAUGAAACCAUCAUCUUUUUUAGGAACACAAACUGAAGCUUCUAACAAUGAACAAUAUUUGAAACACAGGCAAAUUCUUUUCUCUUCAAAGAUGAAUUAAUCUUAUCUUUUAAUGCAGCCUAGCAACAACAUGAGAUACUGUCUUUUGAGUAUUGAGUUUAAAGAGUAGCCAAAGCCUACCCCUCAAAAAGGAAAGUAUUGAUGAAAGAAACAUGUUACUGGUCCAAAAUAGUCUUUUGUAUUCUCGAUGGUUCUUCAUCCGUGUUGGAUUCCUUAUAUUUAAAUCCAUAAAUUGUAUUGGAUUAGGAUUUUAGAAGCAAUAAAGACAAUUAUGCAUGAGUUAAAUGUUAAAAAGACUCACUUCUCAUCAUGUAGCGAUAGAGGUCAUUAUAGCUAUGGUGUAGCGUAAUCCCUUCACUUCAGUUGUCAUUCAGAUACCAAAACUCUGAUCAGUAUGUGAGAGAUGCUUCAUUGUAAAUACAAUGUUUCUUUUCCUUGUAGCAUUUUACACGUUUGACCAACCCUAGUUUUGUAGCUAUUCUGAUCUAGCUGCAAAAGACUGAGCUAACUUUUUGACAAUGCACUUUUUCUCCAUGUGCAUCUUCCUCAUCCUGUUCUGAGUACUGUGUUUGAAAAGAGCCUGUUUGCAACUCGUGGGGAUUUAUAAUCAAACGUUUUGAGCCACUUGGCCUCCAGAAUAUAUGGGUUUAAAAUAUAUGCAUGACUUAGCAGAACAGUGAAUGAUUUGUAUUGCAUGCAAUAACCGAAGUUUGUAAUGUGAAUGAGUGUUAUUAGAAAGCUGACACUUGCUCUGUGACAAGCAUAGAGGUCGGUGUUAAAAAACAGCAAGCAUGUUGCAGCGGUUUUGACAACCCUUUGAUGCAGAGCAACCAAUAGGACAAAAUGUAGAAAAAUAUGUUUACCAAGGGUGAAACCGAUAAACCUUUAGUCACGAUAGAAAACUUUACACUAGAUGUUGCUGGUAUAUCUCCACCAAAGUGGGUGGCUGUGUAGAAACUAUGCACUCCAGAGGGAGGAAGUGGGCAUGCUUAUUAUGUGUGAGCCUCUUGUCUGGUUUUGUAUCAAGAAAAAGAGAAAAAAAGUAACAAAAUUUCAGCAAUAAAAUGCAGCAUGGUGCCAAUGGCUCUCUGGCUUUUUGUCCCUCUU